rnacentral:rRNA from 1 species
GUGGGGAAUAUUGCACAAUGGGCGCAAGCCUGAUGCAGCGACGCCGCGUGAAGGAUGAAGGUCUUCGGAUCGUAAACUUCUAUCAGCAGGGAAGAAACCAUGACGGUACCUGACUAAGAAGCCCCGGCUAACUACGUGCCAGCAGCCGCGGUAAUACGUAGGGGGCAAGCGUUAUCCGGAAUUACUGGGUGUAAAGGGUGCGUAGGCGGCGAUUUAAGUCAGAUGUGAAAACUCAGGGCUCAACCUUGAGACUGCAUCUGAAACUGAGUUGCUAGAGUGCAGGAGAGGAAAGCGGAAUUCCGAGUGUAGCGGUGAAAUGCGUAGAGAUUCGGAGGAACACCAGUAGCGAAGGCGGCUUUCUGGACUGUAACUGACGCUGAGGCACGAAAGCGUGGGGAGCGAACAGGAUUAGAAACCCUUGUAGUCC